AAUUAGCCAGCUGCUAUCACUGGCUGCAUUGUUUCCAAAUAAGCAGUGCGUGAUGGAGCUGAGGAAGGUAAAAACAUCAUCACGACAAAAGGUUGCUCUCCAGGUGCUGAGAAAGAUAGCACCUCAUACACUAUUAUUGUCUCGUGCAUUAUGUGUUGUACUGGAGGACAAUGUCUACACCUCAUCCACAGUAUGGAUAUGACCUGCAUUAUCAAGUGUCAGAAGCUGAUGUGCUGCAAAGAACUCUAAUUUUUUGAAAAUAAACAAUAUACGACUUAUUCUUUUUUUCUUUUUAUAUAUCAUGCUUCAAAAUGAGUCUUGGUCAAAGUGUUCAAAAAUCUAUAUCUUAAUUUCUUUCCAUGUGAAACAGAAAAAUCUUUAUAUUUUAAAAGGUUGUUGGGAGUCUUGGUGCCAGUAUAUUUAUGAAAUCACUUAGUCCUAUGCUGGUACUCAUAAUAAACACUCAAUAAACUUAUGACGGGAUGAUAAAUGCUCA
rnacentral:lncRNA from 1 species